AACGAACGCUGGCGGCAUGCCUAACACAUGCAAGUCGAACGAGACCUUCGGGUCUAGUGGCGCACGGGUGCGUAACGCGUGGGAAUCUGCCCUUGGGUUCGGAAUAACAGUUAGAAAUGACUGCUAAUACCGGAUGAUGUCUUCGGACCAAAGAUUUAUCGCCCAAGGAUGAGCCCGCGUAAGAUUAGCUAGUUGGUGAGGUAAUGGCUCACCAAGGCGACGAUCUUUAGCUGGUCUGAGAGGAUGAUCAGCCACACUGGGACUGAGACACGGCCCAGACUCCUACGGGAGGCAGCAGUGGGGAAUAUUGGACAAUGGGCGAAAGCCUGAUCCAGCAAUGCCGCGUGAGUGAUGAAGGCCUUAGGGUUGUAAAGCUCUUUUACCAGGGAUGAUAAUGACAGUACCUGGAGAAUAAG
rnacentral:rRNA from 1 species